ensembl:lncRNA
UCUCUUGUGGGUGAGGUUCUGUUUGGGUUGAGGUGGAAAACACUGCAAUGAGUCCUGUAAGCCUUCACUGUCUUUAUUCCUUCCAGCAGUCUAAGGAGCACCGUCUGAACGAAACAACACAUACCUUCACUCACUCUCAGCAGACUUCAAGGCUCUGGCGCAGACUGGGUUGCAAACUGCUGUUUUAUUUUUGUGAUCCCAUCCUCCCUUGAUCAUGUGUGUGAUAUAGCAUCUUAAAGGGAACAAGUACUUAGUAAAUAUUUAUUAACUUGAAUUCCAAAUAUUUUUGUUCUCUUUCUCUUGAUUGAGGCCUAGCACUGAGAGGACACCAUUGGCCUGCCUCUCCUGAUGUGUUCUCUAAAGAGAAUAGGCAGUGAAGGAAAAGUUGGCACCAGCGACAGUUAUUUCUUCAUUUUUUCCUAGGGGUUUUUUUUUUUUUUUUGUGUGUGUGUGGUAUUCCUUGUUUAGUGUCAGUAGUGAAGGGACUGUGAAAGCUACGCACAGGAGCUUUAUGACUGGAUAGUUUACAAGAAAAUUUGAUCUCCAAGGAAAAGUUUUAAAACAGACAAAUAAAUGCUUGCAUAGACCAAACUUAACACCAGUGUGCAGAAGAGUAAUUCUGCAAUGGCUUGGGAGAAAUGUUGACUUUUUAGGGCUCUCAUUUAAUUUUUUUGUCUCAUGACUUAUAUUUUCAAAAUGAUGGAAAUAAAUAAAAGGUUCAGAGCCCGGAAUAGUGCUUCUUCUACAGCUGUAAGCCAUUUAAAAUUCUUCUUGUGUUACUGUUUGCCAUUCAUAUGGCUUUCUGGCACUGGUUCCGUUCCUCGAUGUGAGGGCUGUUGGUUAGUUACUCACCAGCAUCACUCUAUGCUUGUACCAUCUGGCUUAUGACUCACCGUCAUAGCACUUAUAUGUGGGUAUCCUUUGGUAUACAGUCAUUUCUGAUUAUUUGAUGUCAGUUGUUAUAAAUAGCUGCCAGAACUGAUAGGAUAUCAUUUCUCAGGUGAAGAUUUGUUGUCAUUAAAAAAAUAAUAAUAAACCACUCUAGUUAGUCUUUUGGGUCCGUUACUACUGAAUUGAGAAACAGAGGCAGUUGUCUAGACUAUGAAACUUUUGUAUAAAAUAUGUAUCCCAUGAUAGGCACAAAAGUGUAUCCAGUAAGCCAGAAUUAUUUGCUUCACUUUUGUACUGUUACCUAAAAUGUGUAAAAUGCAAAGAAGUUCUUACCAUAGAAGUGGGAGUUGUAUUGAGAGGGGGUGGCUGCCUGGAAGGAACAUCCAGGGAGUCACUGAGAUGCUGAUUCUUGAACUGGAUUGUGGGUUGCUUUAUAGUAAUUCAUUGGGUACUUUUUUGUUAAUGUAUUCUUUUGUUUUAUUUUUGUCUUUUUUUUAGAGCUGCACCUGCAUCGUAUGGAGGUUCCCAGGCUAGGGUUCUUAUCAGAGCUGUUGCUGCUGGUCUACACCACAGUCACAGCAAUGCCAGAUCCAAGCCACAUCUGUGACCUACGCCACACAGCUCACAGCAAUGCUGGAUCCUUAACCCACUGAGAGAGACCAGGGAUUGAACCCGCAACCUCAUGGUUCCUAGUUGGAUUUAUUUCCAUUGCACCAAGACAGGAACUCCAAAUAUAUCAUUUUAAAGCAAGAAAAAUAUUUUAAAAUAGGAAGUACUUGCCCAUCAUACAGAAUUCUCUCAGCUGUAUCUUCAGUGGCUAUAGAAGAUCACCAUAACUUAUACUAGAUUUUGGUAGUAAGUCUUUGUCCUAUUAUUUUGAUAUAUUUAGGAAAAUAAUCAUAUUUACCUAAAUGGUUUACCAGUGAUUGAAAUAGUUUUAAUAAUUAGUUCCCAUGCGCCAAAUGCUAUGCAUUUGGAGGUGAAAGAGAAAGAACAGGGUGAAGGGAGAAUAAAAUAUAUCUUUCUUUUCUUUUCCUUUUAUUUUUUUGUUUGCUUUUUUUGGCUGCACCUGGGGCAUGCAAAAGUUCCCAGGCUGGGGGGCCAGGGGGUUGAACCCACACCAUAGCAGUGACUUGAGCUAAUGCAGUGACAAUGCUGGAACCUUAGCCUGCUGAGCCACAUGGGAACUCUGAUAUAUAUCUUUCUCGGUAAUAAAUAUCCAAUUAGAAUAAUUUCCUAUUUCUUGUUGAUAAGUAUGAUUGAACAUCUAGAAUAGAACAGAAGAAAGCAGACUGAAAACUAGGAACAAUGAAAUAAUUAAUUAGCAUUACCUGAUAAAAAGUUUAAAUAUUUGAAUUAAAACCAUUGAAUUUUAUUUUAUCUUUUUUUUUUAGGGCUGCACCCGCUGCAUAUGGAGGUUCCCAGGCCAGGGGUUGAAUCCGAGCUGUAGCCGCCGGCCUACGCCAGAGCCACAGAAACGCAAGAUCCGAGCCGCGUCUGCAACCUACACCACAGCUCACAGCAACGGCAAGGGCAGGGAUCGAACCCACAACCUCACGGUUCCUAGUCGGAUUCGUUAACCACUGCACCACUACGGGAACUCCAGAAUUUUUUAAUGGAAAAACUAAUAGCGGCAAUACAUUAAAAUGGGAAAAUCAUUAUUUCUAAUAAUUUUUAAUUUAACAGGCGGCAAAUAGAUAUGUCACCAUUCUAUGAAGUCACUUAGGACAUUGCAUUAUCUGAUAAACUGUUGUUUAAUUUAAACUUAUUUGGAAUUGGAAUGUAUUUGAGUUUUUUUUAUUACUCAAUUUAUUUUAUUACAUGUGUAGUUUUACAAUGAUCAUCACAACCAAACUUUAUAGCAUUUCCAUCCCAAACCCCCAGCCCAUCCCACUGCCACCCCAACCUGUCUCAUUUGGAAAUCAUAAGUUUUUCAAAGUCUGUGAGUCAGUAUCUGUUCUGCAAAGAAGUUCAUUGUGUCCUUUUUUUUCUUAGAUUCCACAUGUAAGUGAAAGCAUUGGAUGUUGGUGUCUCAGUGUCUUACUGACUUCACUUAGCAUGAUAAUUUCUAGGUCAAUCCAUGUUGCUGCACAUGCUGCUAUUUCUUUCCUUUUUUACGGCUGAGUAAUAUUCCAUUGUGUAUAUGUACCACAUCUUUACCCACUCCUCUGUCAGUGGGCAUUUAGGUUGUUUCCAUGUCUUGGUUAUUGUAUAGAGUGCUGCAGUGAACAUUGGAGUACAUGUAUCUUUUUGUGUCAUGGUUUUCUCUGGAUAAAUGCCCAGGAGUGGCAGGAGUGGGAUUGCUGGAUCAAAUGGUUAAUUCUAUUUUUAGUUUUUUGAGGAAUCUCCAUACUGUUUUCCACAGUAGUUGCACCAGUUUACAUUCCCAUUUUGAUGAUGGCCAUUCUGGCCAGUGUAAUUUGGUACCUUAUAGUGGCUUAUGGAUACUGUGUACACUGUGUACAUCUACCAGUGUAGUAGGGAUACAAAUUGGUAAAACCUGACACAGGGAUGUUGUACUGGUAACAUAUUCCAUGAGUAGUACAUAUAUCUGCUACUUUUGAUUUUGUAUCAUGGCUCGCAAAAUAACUAACAAAAUGAGAAAUUCUUACUCUUGUUUCAUGCUUUUCAUUCAUAAACAGAACAAAAAGUCACUGAACACUGAUAGAUACUCCAGGGGUUUUGGCUUUCAUAAAGCAAAAUUUCUACCAGUAUACACACAAAGUAGGAAUUGCUCUGUCAUGUUGUAUGCCAUUGAUAUUAUGCAGUGCCCAGUUUGAUGUAGGAAUUUUUACGGUAGCUCAUUCUGCCUUCUUUCUGAGCAUUGCCAUUAAUGUUAUCAUUGGAACCUUUUUUUGGCAGUUGUAAAAAUUGUAUUUGUUUUUCUAUAAGGAAUAUAACUUUAAACUUUGCACUUCUAAUUUCGAUAUCUUUGAAUUGCUUUUGAGCUGUUGUUUAUAAAAUAAAUGGUGCAACCUAAUAGUAAUAAAUAUUUAACAAAAGUAAAUUCUAUAGCAGAAAUUAAGUAAAAUAUGUUUGCUAAGAUUUAGAAGUAUUAACUGUUCCCCAAGGAAAAUUAAACUACACAGUUCUUCCAAUAUGGAGUUGUUUUGUGGCAUUUCUAUUGAAACUGUAAUUAAUUUUGGGAAACGCAUGUGAGCAAACCACCUGUAGCUCACUAGAGACCACUGUUUAAGAAAUACUGCUCUUAGAGUUCCCAUUGUGGCUCAGGGGUAAUGAGCCUGACUGGUAUCCAUGAGGAUGUGGGUUUGAUCCCUGGCCUCAUUCAGUGGGUUAAGGAUCUAGUGUUGCCAUGAGCUGUGGUAUAGCUCAGCUCUGGCAUUUCUAUGGCUGUAUCAUAGGCUGGAAGCUGCAGUUCCAAUUCGACCCAUAACCUGGAAACUUCCGUAAGCUGCGAAUGCUGUCCUAAAUUAAAAAAAAAAAAAAAAAAAAAA